GCCCGCGUAGCUCAGUGGAUAGAGCGUCUGCCUCCGGAGCAGAAGGUCGUAGGUUCGAAUCCUGUCGCGGGCACC
rnacentral:tRNA from 2 species